rnacentral:rRNA from 1 species
UACGAAGGGGGCUAGCGUUGCUCGGAAUUACUGGGCGUAAAGGGCGCGUAGGCGGUUCAGUAAGUCGGGUGUGAAAACUUUGGGCUUAACCCAAAGCGUGCAUCCGAUACUGCUGUGACUUGAGUUCGGUAGGGGAGCAGGGAAUUCCUAGUGUAGCGGUGAAAUGCGCAGAUAUUAGGAGGAACACCGGUGGCGAAGGCGCGGCUCUGGGCCGAAACUGACGCUGAGGAGCGAAAGCGUGGGUAGCAAACAGG